rnacentral:rRNA from 1 species
AGAGUUUGAUCCUGGCUCAGGACGAACGCUGGCGGCGUGCCUAACACAUGCAAGUCGAACGGAGUGAAGCCCUUCGGGACUUUACUUAGUGGCGAACGGGUGAGUAACGCGUGAGGAACCUGCCUUUCAGUGGGGGACAACAGUUGGAAACGACUGCUAAUACCGCAUAAAACUUUCGAGCGGCAUCGUUUGAAAGUCAAAGAUUUAUUGCUGAAAGAUGGCCUCGCGUCUGAUUAGCUAGUUGGUGAGGUAACGGCCCACCAAGGCGACGAUCAGUAGCCGGACUGAGAGGUUGAACGGCCACAUUGGGACUGAGAUACGGCCCAGACUCCUACGGGAGGCAGCAGUGGGGAAUAUUGGGCAAUGGGGGAAACCCUGACCCAGCAACGCCGCGUGAAGGAAGAAGGCCUUCGGGUUGUAAACUUCUUUUACCAGGGACGAAAAAAGUGACGGUACCUGGAGAAAAAGCAACGGCUAACUACGUGCCAGCAGCCGCGGUAAUACGUAGGUUGCAAGCGUUGUCCGGAUUUACUGGGUGUAAAGGGCGUGUAGGCGGAGAUGCAAGUUGGGAGUGAAAUCCAUGGGCUCAACCCAUGAACUGCUCUCAAAACUGUAUCCCUUGAGUAUCGGAGAGGCAAGCGGAAUUCCUAGUGUAGCGGUGAAAUGCGUAGAUAUUAGGAGGAACACCAGUGGCGAAGGCGGCUUGCUGGACGACAACUGACGCUGAGGCGCGAAAGCGUGGGGAGCAAACAGGAUUAGAUACCCUGGUAGUCCACGCUGUAAACG